UUUUCACUAUCAAAACACGAGAGCCGGUAAACCCACCUGGCAAUAGGAAUUGGAUUGUACAGUCCUAAAUUCCGAGUCUCUGCACGCCAUCUCUUCCUUGUGUAGGACGGUAGCUUUACCUUUAUACCAAAUAAAGGUAAAAACCAUAACCAUCUCAUAUUUGUUGUAUGCGUUGGCGAAUACGUGCAUGAGUUUGUGCUUGACUGUACUAAUGCAGGAACCAUGGAAUUUUAUUUUAACCAUGGCAAUUAUUGAAGGUUGAGAAGGGAAGGGAAGGUAUAGACCAAGCGUAAUGAACUUCUGAAAGGUAAACAGUUUAGUCACGUUUGGUAAGUGAGGAAUAAUUGGACCUCCUGAAACACGUGUGUCAAUUUCGCAAAGUGGACACCUUGCAAUAUCCAAACCAUUUCAAAGCUUGGCCAAAUAUUUCUUGCACUCUGGACUAGUUAGAGAUUGACUACCAUAACAAAAUAAUUUUUUAAUACAAAUUAUUUUUUUCAGACAAAUUAAAAUCCUGAUAUGAUGGCGAACGAAUCGAACCUAAAAGAUAAAAAGAUGGAAGUGGAGAAUCAGAUGAUAAAUAUACAGAGUGCAGUGGCGGGAUUCGAUCAACUUUUUUCUUAGUAAUUAAGCAGAUGGAUUAUUAUAUAAACCCAGUAAAUUAAGCUUAUACGUAGAAAGACAUAAGGGCCUUGCUGUACCCGAGAGAAUUAAUGAAGAAGGAGAAGUUCCAAUCUCCCUCAAAGGCUUCCAAUAUUCCAGGCUAAUCAUAAGAUUUAUCUAAGAAUUUUGGGAGCCUUUGAAGGGGAUUGAAGGCUUACUCCAUCCCACCAAUAAUAAGUUUAUAAGUAGUUUUCUUUCAUCACCAUCAGCAAAAGAGAAUCAUGCAUGAUACACUAUUCUUUGUUGCUAUCUGGAUUCGUUUGUGAUGCACUUGUGUCAUGAAUUGCAAUUGCAUGCAUGCAUAUUAACUAUUAUCUAUUAUGGGAGAACGCAAAUGUCUGCAGAAAUCGAAGUUGCAUGUUAGUUAAUUCCUAGGAAAAACUCAGUGUACAAGCAUGUUUUAGUGGGAGUCCUACUAAGAUAUCACUCGAGUAUCAUCCUCCUAUGAAAGCUGCAAUUUUUUUCAGGUCUUGUAUUUAAAUUAUUUAUUUAUUACUUAAUCAAUUAUAUAUAUAAAUAUUAAUAAUAGAAAAAUAUUUAUUUAAGCCCAUUCUACGUAGACUAACCCACAAUAAUUAUAAUGAGAUAAGUGAAAUUCAUAUAUCUGAUUAAAAAAAGAAAAAAAAGGACCCUUAUAUUAAAGAGGUAGAAAAUUUGCCUCUACUUCUGCUCACAUAAUUAAGUUCAUAAUAUGCAAUAACAGAAGUCACAGAACAGCUUUCAAGAGAGAAGCAUGUAUAAGCCUAGCCAGCUAGUUUGAUGAUAAGUUUACCUUUCACUCCUCUUUCUGCAAUAGAGUAACUAAUUUCAUUAAGGAUGCUUAAUCAUAUGCAAAUUACAGCUCUCAUGAUUUGAAAGGAAAGUUGAGUUCACUUCUUUUUGCGUCUUUAUGCAGGAUUUAUUUUUCAAGACAGUUGGAAAAUUCUUGUUUCCCCUCCAAUUAACACACAUAGAAAGAUUACAUGUGCAUGCCAAUGCUUCCCCUCUUCCAUUUUCUCGAUAUAUUCCAAAG
rnacentral:lncRNA from 1 species